AGCAAGUCAGCUACGCUUCAGACCGAGCAUCGCUAAAAAUGCACAGUGUCCGUGAGCAGGUCGAAGUGUAUCGGAACCGCGUGCGUGGGUGAAGUUAGCAUGUUCGCGACCAACGAAACAAAAAUCCCCUUCUCAGCCACAAUUCCCCAAUGCUUUCGAUUUCUAGCGCCUUAUUCGCUUCAACAAUAGAAUCCAAAGAAGACACCCCACCCAUCCCAUUCCACUCCUCUUUCACGAACCUCGAUCACAUCUUGAUUGAUUGAUUGAUUGAUUGUUGCGGGAACUGUUGGCGCCACCACGCCUCUCGACUCUGAAAACACGCCGCCAUUGCGAUGAAUGGAGGCUGCUUGAAGGUGAGAGACGACCUUUAACUUUUGAUUUUUGGAAGAACUUUAUUGGUGCCACUAUUACAUGGUUACUCAUUGCAUUACAAAAAAAGAAAAAAAAUUAUGUGGUUUGAGUGAGGUCAAGCUUCUACAAGAAGGUGUUCCUUGUCUUUGUAACAUAGGGUAGAAAUAAUAAGAGUGUUAUAUUAUAUUUGUUGAUAUUUCUAUUUGAUAUGGAAAUUUUCACUCUUGAAGAGCUAAAGAAGGACUUCAGAAAUUAUAUUCUAAUAGACAAGGUAGAAUUAUUUCUUUGGUUAAUGUGAUUUUUUAUGAUAAAAUAAGAAAAAAAAUAUUAAAAUUAUUGUGAUUAGUAUGCUUUGGUUGUUAAUUAUGUGUACUAAAAAGAAAGUAAAUAAAAAUAAAUAAAUAAAAUCCAUUGUAGUAUUAAAAUUUAAAGUAUGUUCAUUUUUUUUAAAAUUAAAUUACUCAUAAAUUUUAUUUUUAAAUAAAUUUUAUUAAUAAUUUAAUUAUAAAUAAAAGAAUGAUUUACUAAUGGUCUUUUAUACUAAAUUUCUAUUUAAAUGAUAUAAUUUCUAAAAUUUAAAUUAUAAAAUAUAUUUAAUUUUUAAAAAGAAAUUUUAUCCAAUUUUUAUACUAAUAAAAAUUAUAAUAUUAGAAACAUCUUUCUAUUAUUUUGAUAAAAACUAUAAAAUAAAAUUAUUUAAGAUUGUAAAAUUAUUUAUAUUUUAGUAUAUUUUUUAGUCUAAAUUUUUAUCUUACUCUACAUAUAUAAUUGUGUAUAAAUAUAUGUGUACAAUGGAUAGGAUAUUUUUUGUUUUACAAUACAUAGUAUGUAAGAUUAAGAGAAGCUAGUAAACUGAUGAAUGGAUGGUUUAGAAGGUAGGAGGGAUGAUGUGGUCAAAAAAAAUAGUUAUCAUUGGUUAUAUAGUAGUUGGCAUUUCAAGGAAAGCAUAAGUAGUUUGAAGACAAAGUAGAUGGGGCCAGACUAUGAAACCCAUAAGCUAGGGUAAGCUUGGUUCUACCUCUUUGUUUCUUUGUUUUCUGUGUAGAAGAAGAAUAAUGGAUAGAAUUUGAAUAAUGUGAAGUGAAAUUCUAGAAUGAAAGAAAGAUUUGAUUUACAUGAUGUUAAAUGAGAAAUUGAAUUUAUUAUAUGGUGAAUUAUAAGUAGAAGAUUGGAAAGUUGAUAAUGGAAGAUGUUUGUGAAAUAUGGAUAUAACUGGAAGAAUUAUGAUACAUUGAUUUUUGAGAAUUGAAAGGAUGCCAAGAAGAAGAUUGUGGAGUCUAGAAUUGUGUGAAGAAGAUUACUAGGAAUGACAAUUAGUUUUGGAGAAUUUCAAUGAUUGAGUAGGAAAUAUUUUAUAUAGUCUUUUAAGAUAGUGUAGUAUUACCUAUUGUUGUCAUAAGUUAGGAGAGGAGAAGAGACAGUGAAUAUAUAAUAAAGAAUUAUAGAUUAUAAUAUUUUAUUUGAUAGAAUGUGGGAGGCAUUGUAGCUUUCUUGGUUGUUUUAGUUGAUAAAGAGACAAUUAAUUAUGUGACCCUAAUGUGAAAACUCAUGCAGAUAGUCUUUCUCCAUGUUUGAAUCCCUUUGUAUAAGUUUAUUCAGAUUAGAUUAGUCUAGAGUAAGUAAAACAAUAAUUAUAUUUUGGUGCCACUACCAAAGAAUUGACAAUAAUAGAGUAUUAAGAAUUAAUUACCAAACACGUACUUCUGGAUGUCGUACAAAGCUGUUAUAAAAUUCAUGUUGGUUCAAAAGUAAAGCCAAAUGUGUAGUUAGAUUGGAGAUGGAAAGUAAUUUUAGUAUUAUAAGAUGAAAUAUUAUGAUUUAUAAGAAUGAAAACAUUACACUAAGACAAACAUGCAAGUUGAAAGGAAGACACGAGACAGCGCAAGCA
rnacentral:lncRNA from 1 species